CAGCUACUCAGGAGGCUGAGGCAGGAGAAUGGCGUGAACCAGGGAGGCGGAGCUUGCAGUGAUCCGAGAUCACACCACUGCACUCCAGCCAAGACGACAGAGCGAGACUCUGUCUCAAAAAAAAAAAAAAAAAAUUAGCUGUCCAUGGUGGUACAUGCCUGUAGUCCCAGCUAGAAGGCUUAGGUGGAAGGAUCACUUGAGCCCAGUAGGUCAAGGCUUCAGUGAGCCAUGACUGUGCCCCUGCACUCCAGCCUGAGUGACAGAGUGAGACCAUGUCUCAAAAGAAAAAAAAGCACUCACCUGUCACAUAGACAAUGAAAGGGCACUGCAUGCAUGGGGUGAGCCCUGACAGCUAUAGGUCCCAGUGUCCUGCUCGGAGGCAUCCAGCACUCACAGCUGCAGAGGCCCCACAAAGAUGUGAUCCAGAAAACCAGUCCUGUGCCAUUGUUGAACAAGAGAGUGGCUUCAUCAAACCAAGUGCUGAAGAUGACCAACUGCUCUUGUUGGCUGGACUCAGGCCUGCAUUUCUGCAAGUCAGGUUACCGAAAUCUCAAUGUAAGUGUUACGUCAUGACAGAGGCUUCUGUGAGAGCUGAAUUGUGUGCUUUCCAAAAUUCAUAUGUUGACACUGUCACCCCAGCACCAAAGAAUGUGACUACAUUGGGAGAUAGCUUCAUCAAAGAGGUAAUUACAUUAAAAUGAGGUCUUUGGGGGUGGAGUUGGGGUGGUGGGGAUAUGGUCACAUUAUACAAAAUUUCAGUUAGACAAGAGGAAUAAAUACAACAGGUUUAUUGCAUUUGGUGACUACAUUUAAUGUACUCUGUUCUUGAACAUUGAUAAGACAGUAGAUUUUGAGUGUUCUCACAGCAAAAAAAUGAUAGGUAUGUGAGGUAAUGCAUAUGCCAAUUAGCUUGGGUUAACCAUUCCACAGUGUGUGCAUGUUUCAAAACGGUACCAUAAAUGUAGACAAUUUUUAUCAGUUACAAUAAAAAAGUUUUAAAAUGAAGGCCUUAGGGUGGGCCCAAAUCCAAUGUAACUGAUGUCUCCAUGAAAGAGGAUAUAAGGAUACAAAUGUGUACAUACAGAGAAAUGGCCACAUGAAAACAGAAAGAGAAGGUGGCCACUUACAAGCCCAGGAGAGAUGUCUCGGGGAAACCCUCCCUGCUCAUGUUUUGACCUUUGACAUCAUUCUCCAGAUAAAGUCCUUCAUCCUCCUUCAUCAGAUGGUAGCUUCUGAUCCUGAAUACUCUCCAAAUGCUGGAAGGUAUGAAUGUGAGAGGACAGCACAGACCUCAGGGUGAAAAGUUUAAAGAGAAUAACAUCUUCCCAUUGCCCCGUCCUCUCCCCAACACACACCUGUGCCAGCCUUUAUUGGUCUUUUGUAUUCCCUUGUCCUGGGGAUAGUGUAACUUGCUAAUCUGUGUUUAUGUAGAGGAUAACAUAAAACAAAGGUAAACAAUAAAAUAAAACAAAGAGCAAAACUCAACAAAUACUGUUUGGGCAGGGUGACAGUAAAAGCAGGCAGAUCACAUAAAAUGGGGGUGGAGCUCUUGGAGCUCAAUCAAUGUCCUGUUGUGUUUCUACAUCAGAAUCUGUAGUAGCAAUUUUCAGGUUUGAUGCUUUUGUCCUUGCCUGCCCCGUAAGUGCCAGAGGGGAUUAUUCUAAAUUGGGUGAGGAACAGGUAGAAAUGUGUAAGUGAGACAAUUUUCCCUGCCAUUUGCCACAGUAGCAGGGCAGAAUUUAUCAUGAGUGCCUUUACUCUCUGAUGUCCAAAAAGUUCAACUCUGUUGGUGAGGUUCUGUUGGCUGCCAAUUUAGAAGCAUCUGCCUUCAUGCUCCUGUCUAGAAUGAUAACAUCUCUCUGCCAGUAGCUGAUAAAAUCCCCAACAUCCCCUAGUCAUGUUUUCCAGUUAAAAUUCACUGGAAUUAUGUGGGCAGAUUUACAUAGCUCAGUUCUUCCAGCAGCCAAGGAAUCCUUGAUAUUUUUUUCACUUGAAGCCUCUGAGAGAGGGAGUCAGCCUCCCCUUAGAGGUGGCCCUUAGAGUUUUUGAUACAUAAUCUCCCUGACUCUACUACUUACACUGAUUUGAAAGUCAGUGACAAGCUUGCUCCAAAGCUCCUGUCAAAUUGAAUCCUGACACAUGAAGGGCUUGGUGCUUCCCAGCUUGAUAUUCCAAUUUUGAAGUGAGUAAAUUUGAGUUCUAUGAGACAUCAGAAGGUCACUUAGAAUAUAACAUAUUCUAAAAGAAAAUUGGAAUGCCACAGGAACAUUAGCUGUAAAAGAAAAAUUAUGUUCUUUGGUGAAAAUUUUAUGCCCCUUGAUAUGGUUUGGCUGUGUCCCCACCCAAAUCUCAUCUGGAAUUUUAGCUCCCAUAAUUCCCAAGUGUUGUAGGAGGGACCUGGUAGGAGACAAUUGAAUCAUGCAGGCAAUUUUUUCCAUACUGUCCUUGUGGUAAUGAAUAAGUCUCAAGAGAUCUGAUGGUUUUAUAAGGAGAAACCCCUUUCACUUUACUUUCAUUCUCUCUUCUCUUGUCUGCUGCCAUGUGAGACAUGCCUUUCACCUUUUGCCACUAUUGUGAGGCCUCCCUAGCCGUGUGGAACUGUGAGUCCAUUCAACCUCUUUCUUUUGUAAAUUGCCUAGUCCUAGGUAUGUCUUUUUCAGCAGGGUGAAAACAAACUAAUACACCACCCUCCACUGUUUGAAGCAAAACUGCUGGCUCUAUGGGGUCUUCAAUUCACUAAAUAUUUCCUAAAUGCCUGGUUUAUUUCACUGACAAGUCAAGGAAGUUGCCACCUUUUGGUGCUCACUGGGCUGCUGUGGAUGUCUAACCUCAUUGCCAGCCACACAGAACCUGAAGCAGGGAUCGUUGCACCACUUAAUGUGAGACGCAGAGAAGAGUUGGGGAAUCCUGUUGGACCAGGAGGAGGAAUAAUAUUAGUUGGACCAAAUGGUAGAACAGGACCUGUGUGCUCAACCUUUCUUGGGAAUUCCAUUCCUCUUUGAGGCAGGCAUGGAAUCCCAGUGAACAUCCUGCACUCUCAGUGUCCAGCUGUCUGAGGCAACAGUUGUUUCUGAUGAUAGAGAACAAUUGCUUUUUUUUCUGAGAAGACUUCCAUGGCUGAGGUAAGCUGGAUUCUAUAGAACAUUGAUUCCAUUUUCUCCUUCCUCUGUGAACUGCGGUUGCUUCUUUGAUUUUUCAUCUAGAGAUAAAAUUACAUUUGCCAAUAUUUGUGUAAAAUGGAGAUAUAAGUCUGGCAAGUAGAUCCUUAGAUGCAGCCCUCAGCAGAAAUUUUUGCCUGUUUCUAUUCUCAGUUUUAUUAAAUUAUUGGCACAGAAAGUUGCCCUGACAUGUUGUCCCUCAGGGGUAAUUAGAAUAUUGUACUUCUAGAGAAGCUGAUGGGACAGGCCAGGGCUUAGAGUGAGGAUCGAAGCUUCUGUCCAAAUCUCCCAGUCUAUCUGUGUGUGGUAGGUGGACUCAGGAAAGACCCUAAAACUCUGGAAACGAUCAUUAAGAGAAAACAAAAUCCCCAUAAAUUAGAGUACUAGGGCACAUGUUCAUUAGUCGCCUUCAGAGUCAGAUGCUCAGGGCUGAGCUUGUGUGGGAGGGUGCAUAGCAGUGCAUGCCUGUGAAAGCCUCUGGUCUUGUGUGAGUGAUGAGGCUCUGGAUCAAUGAGAAGUCCUGUAUCUGACAGAACAUGGUGUUUCUGUGAGUGUGAGAUUCAGCGCCCUUCCUCAGCAGAGCACCACUGAGUGAAUAAUUGUUUUAGAAUCAAGAAUAUGGAGGCCAAUUUUAUUUUGAAUUUCUCAAAGACAGAUUUUUUCCACAUUGAAAUUGAGUAAGAGUGUCAGAAACUUCAGCAAAAAUGUCACAGGAGGAAACUCUGGGGUCUUAUGAACCCCAGAAACCACAAAAGUCCUGAUAUAACCUGUGAGAAUUUCCCUUGUAAAAACUUGAUUUUUUCACAGUACAGAUUUAUCUGUCAUUUGACAUUUAUUUUAUUUCAGGUUAUAAUUAGUACUUUUUUUUUUACCUUUAUGAGAGAAACAUCAGAUUCCUAAACCCAAAGCCUUAAUGAUGCCUACCCAACUGUAGUUUUUAUUUCCAACUGACUUUCUGCUAUGGUCUGAAUUUAUGUCUCCUUCUAAAAUCUCAUUUGAAAAAUUUAAUCCCUAAAGUGAUAGUUUUAAAACAUGGAACCUUUAGGGAAGUGACUAACUCAGGAGGGAUUCAUCCUCAUAAAUGUAAUUAAUACCCUGUAACAGAGGUUGAAGGGAGCACCCUUGUCCCUUCUGUCAUGGAGGAUACAGCAAGAAGGCACCACGUGUGAGAAACAGGACCCUCACCAGACACUGAAUUUGCUGGUGCUUUUAUCUUGAGUUUUCCAGCCUCCAGAACUGUGGCCAAUACAUUUCUGUUAUUUAUACAUGACCCAGUCUAAUGUAUUUUGUUUCAGCAGCCUGAACAAAGACACUUUCUCAUGCAUUGUGGUUUACUUUGAAUUUAUGCUUCCACUGAGCUAUCCAUAUAUUCAUAAAUAAACAUGUCUCAUAGGGUUGGAUAACCACUCUGGUUAUGUUUUCAGAGUUUUCUCAGCUGUUCUUAUUUAUGUUUUCAUCUAUAGGAACUUUGCAAUAAAAUGCCUGCUUCCAAUACCAGAUGGCAUCACUAUUAGGACAAAAUUAAAUUUAUGAAUUACUUCUAAUAAAAUAAUGAUUGAGCAAUAUUGCAUUUUUCUACCUUAGAACAUGAUGUGAUUUUCCAUUCUUUUAUGCUGAUUUUCCUAUAUUUCAAGGACUUUUUAUCAUACUUCUCAUAUGCUUUACAAAUUUUUGUUAGAUUUAUGUAUGGCUAGUUUAUUUUAUUUUGUCCUGUUAAAAAGUAAACUGUAGCACAACAGAAAUUUUAUAAGUUUUCUUGGUUGGGAAUGGUGGCUCAUAUCUGUGAUUCCAGCACUUUGAGAGGCCAAGGUGAGAGGAUUACUUGAGGCCAGGAGUUUGAGGCCAUCCUGGAAAACAUAGUAAGACCCUGUCUCUACAAAAUAUAAGAAGAAAUUAGCCAGGUGUGGUGGUGCAUACCUGUAUUUGCAGCUACUCAUGGGGCUAAGGUGGGAGGAUGGCUUGAACUCAGGAUGUAAAACUGCAGAGAGCUUCAAUUCUCCAUGCCCUCCAGCAUGGGCAACAGAGCAGGAACCUGUUUCAAAAAACAUUUUCUUGAGUAAAAAGCAACUAAUGAAUUGUGGAACAUGAGACCACAAGAGGUUUAGCAUUUAAAUGGCAAAGUGUCAGAGGUAAGAGGGUAUUGAAAUAAUGCAGGAACAAAAUAUUAAAAUUAUUUGAUUGGUUGCAGUUAUAAAAUUGUCUUUUUUGGUUUACCUUAUAGACCUAUAUUACUAUACACGUCUUGGGUACUUCUGAUAACUAAAGCUUAAGUUCUGUUGUUGUUGUUUUUUAAUACAAGCAUUCACAAAAAAUACCUCACAUUAUGUUUUGCUUGUUUGCAAAUCAACAAGAUGAGGUCACUGAGGAGGUCUGAUUCUGUCUCCUCAGGAAUGUUUUGGGCUUUGUCCCCCUUUUAAUUUACUUUAUAAAUCACGUUGUAAUUUUUAUCUCCCACCCAUACUAUAACUUGUUAAUUACUUUUAUACCUAUGUAAAUAUCAUUUAUGUAUGAUUUCUGAGUAUAUCACUAGUGAAUAGUUUGUUACAUAGGCAUACCAUGUCUUAUUGCACUUUAUUGUGCUUCAUAGAUAUUGAAUUUCUUACAAAUUGAAGGUUUUUUGCAACCCUACAUUGAGCGACUCUAUUAACACUAUUUUUCCAACAUCAUGUGACCUUUGUGUGUGUGUAUAUCUGUGUCAGCAUUUUUAACAAUAAAGUACAUUUUUUAUCAAGGUAUAUACAUUGUUAUUAUAAACAUAGGCUGUUUCAGUCUUAUUCUACAGUAUAGUGUAAACAUCACUCUUAUAUGCAAUGGGAAACAAGAAAAGCUGUGUGACUCACAUUAUUGUGAUAUUUGUUUAAUCGCCCUGCUCUAGAGCAAAAGCCAGAUAUCUCCAAGAUAUAUCUGUAUAUUUUCAUUGAAUCGGCUUUAUUUACUGUAAUGAUAAAUCACUAUUCUUUGACUGAAAACAAGAGCUGCGGAGUGUGGAGAGGUUGGGGUAAAAAUAUAGAAGAAGUGAAGAUAAAAAGUCCUCUAAGUCACACAUGGAGUAAUACAAAUUCAGUAUGGAUUAAAUAUAAAAUUAUUUAAAAUUGAAGAGUCUCAGAAACAUUAAUGUUUAUAUCAUUAUAUAUAUAAAUUAUGAGGCAAAGAGUAAAACAAAAAUACAUUUAGAUGAAAGAUUUCAUAAUCUCACUGUAAAAUGCAAGAAGAAAAACUAUAAAAUAUAGCAAUAUGUAAAAUAAAUGAUAAUAUAUAUUACAUUUAAUAUUCUACAAUACAGUAUGACCAACAGAAAUGUAUAAAAUAGAAGGAAGUCUAAAUUUAGAAAAUUUAAAAUGAGGCAAAUAUGAGUCAGGUGAAGAAUAAAUAAAUAUGAUGAAUUACAUUUAACAUAUCUUGACUUCACUUUUAUGUAAAAAUACAUAUUAAUAGUAAACACUUGUGUAGUGAUUUCACCAUAAUUUUAUUGCACUGUAGAAACAUAUUGACAUUUUUCCGUAGGGAGUACUAUUAAAGGUUUGUGGAUAUUAGUCCUCCAUGGGUUCAGCGUGGGGGGAAGGAGAGGCUACAACCUCUUCUAAAUUAAAAGAGAAGCAUAUAAUUUUAUAUUUAUUUUGCUACAAUUUAAAAUACACAAAGGCAUAUGAAUGAUUACCUUCUAACAUUUGUUUGAUUAUAUAGAAAUGCAUGACAGUUAUCAGACAUCUAAAAUACAUCAAAUAUCUAACAAGACAUAUAAAAUUUGUUUAGAAUCUUAGCCCUCUACAAAAUGCAGGGUUCACCAUUUUGAGUAUAUUGUUCAAGUUUCCUUCCUAUGACUGCUUCAGGUUCUGUUAUUUAUUAACACAGUACAUCUAAAAUUGUCACUGCUGGUCAUCUGGAAGAACCUGAGAAGUAGCAGGUUCUUGGUGUCAUUCCAAGAGCUGCAUUCGCUGCUAAAUAUGGUGAGAGUGCAGCCAGCUCAAGCCUCAUCUGAUCUACUAACAGGCUCAGUUAACUCCUGC
rnacentral:lncRNA from 1 species